CCUCAUCCAUUCUCGCCACAUGACCAUACCAGCGCAAUCGUCUCUAUUGCACACUACAACUGAUGCUUCUUAGGUCCAACUUUUCUCUCAAGGUACUUACACUCUGUCGAGUAUGAACACUGACAUUACACAUCCAUCGGAGCAUACUGGCUUCAUUUCUUGCAAGCUUA